rnacentral:lncRNA from 1 species
AGGAGAAAAGGAAGAAGAAAGCUUGGGGUGUCCAUCAACCUUUGCUUGAGCUUGAAAAAAAGAGAAGAUUUGGUGGAUUGAAUUGAGUUUCAUCUUGGUUGGAAGGCCAAAGAGGUAAAAUGUUAGAUUGUCCUUCUUUGUUUACUUUAUGUUGGAAACAAGUUGGAUUUUUGGAUUUUAGGCAUGAUUUGAUGGUGAAUCUUGGAAGUUCAUGAGUUGAUGAUUAUUAUACUUCAUACUUGAGUUCUAGGGUUUGAUUAUGCAUAUGAUUAUGGUGGUUAUCUUGUUGUAAUUUUGGCUACAUAUAUGUCUAUUGUUGUGUUGGUGAUGAAACCCUAUGGAAUUACUAGAUGAUUUGGGCUGAAUUUGGGACAAUUAGUGGAAAAAUUUUCUGUUUGCUGGCCGAAUGGAAGGGCUACAGUUGUGACCUUGGUUUCGAAAUUUUCAUGAUGAUUUUAAGCUUGAUUUUGAUCAAGAUACUCUAUACUACUUUAAGCUACAAGGGUGUGCUGAAAUUUGAUCAAAAUCAUGAACUUUAAGUGGCUUAAACCUCACAUUUUUUACCAAAACCAUGGCUGGAAUUUGUUCAAGCUGGCCGAAUGAGAGGAAGAGAAUUUUACUAGCUUUACACUUGAUUUUUGGUGGUAAAAUUUUCUUGUUAAGGCCUAGACACUUGAAAAUACUUGAGUAGACACCAAAAUUUUACCAUUUUUUUUUGUUCAUUUUAGUUAAAUUUUAUUUUAAUUUUAUUUUAAUUUAUUUUGUUUCUUGAGAAAGCAUUUUAGAAAAAUCGAAAAAGAAAAGGAAGGAAAAUAAAAGCAGAAAACAAAAGAAAAAAAUUAAAUCAAAAUCUAUUUUUUAUUAAAAAAAAAUCUCUUUCACUGCACGUGCGCGUCUUCUCCUUCAAAACUGGUACAAAAACCAAUAAUGGAGCAGUACAGAUUGCAGCUCCAUUCCAGCACCUUUAGCACUCAUUUUUUUAAAUUUUUUUGGCUCCAUUGGAUCACUCUAGUACAAGCCAUCUGGCCUUAAUCCAGAAACCUCAGAUUCUUAUGUAACAAGAGCCAUCUAAGGGCUCAAAAUAGCCACAAGAAAAGGCGGCAAACCUGCACCAUUAGAUGCUAGGGUUGGAGGGAUUUUUGUAACUAUAAAAGGCUGAGAAACUCAGCCUUGAAGAAUGUAGAUUGAAGGGGAGGCGGUGGAGAGAAAAGAGAGAAAAAAAGGGAAACCAAAAGAGAGAGGAAAAGGAGAGAGAAAUGGAGAAAAUUUUGCAGAAAAAUUUUCGCAAAAAGAGCUGAUUUUCAGCCAUUUUUCGACUCAAAUAUAUCCUCCAUUUUAGCUUCGUUUAAGAAACUUUCGAUUUCUGCUAAGUCUGCGAAGUGAGGGGAGCGACUUUUGUUCAGAAACUUGGUGGAGAAAAUGACUGAAAGUCCUUUGAAUCCGGCUCCAAAAUCACUGCUUCAACAUAUUCGGCUCAACCCGCAACCUAGCGUAGAACUUCAUCAAAUCUACUUCCUCCUGCGUCUUGCUCGCUCAAAUCCGGUCCUAAAAGCUUCCUCAGGUACCCUCCUAGAUUGAUGACUUAGUUCUUUUCAUUUUUAUUCGUUGUUGGGCUAUGCUUUUGGGUUUCUUGAUCGCUGCCGUUACUUGCUCUUUCUUGCUAUUUCCAUUCAUGAAUAGUGAGAUGAAGAUUUCCCCCAUGUUUGCUUGUGUUUAAAUGUGGCGUUUGUGUAAAUGAGAUUUGGAUGUUGUUGGGGGUAUCAUUAUUUUUUCAUUUUUGCUUCUGGACAUGUAUAUUUGGCAGAGUUUCUUGCCGGAAAUGGAAACCUAGCAAAGUUACAGAAGUAGGAAUAAUAGAGUUGUGAGGAAGAAAGCUUUCUUCGAUUGGCUUUGAUUGAGCAUUUUCAAAAAUUGCAUUUUAGCCCCUCAAGUUUUACAUAAUGUUGAUAUGGCCCAAAAACCUCUGCAAAUGAACCAUUUUGACCCCUAUUAAGUUUUAAUCAUCUUUUUACAUUUUUAAAUAGGUUUUCUGGGCAGAAUAAUUCUGGUUUAGAACAUAAUUAGGAUUAAAUAAUUUUUAGUUGAUUUUUAUCAUUAUGGAUUUUAGUGAAAUAGAUAGUUUGGGUUAUAGGGUUACUUUUGUUUGGGUUUAGGGGAAUGGGCUAUUGGUUUAGAUUUCUGGAUUUUAGCAUGGGUUUGGGGGUUAAAGCCCAUGCAAUUUUUAUCGGGUUUGCUUGAUAAAAAUGAUAGUCUGGCCUGCAUAUUUUUGUUGGACACUUGUUGGGUUUAGGAAGCUUUGACCCAAGAAGAAAUAAUAAAAGGGCCCAGGUGCCUGUUUGCUCAAGUAAUCUAGUAACAAACUUUGGAGAAUGGUCCCUGUACUUUUCAUUAAUCAUAAUAUAGCCCUAAAAAUUUUAACUUUCUUUCAAUUAGGUCCCUUUUUUAAUUGCAAAUAGGUCCCUGUACUUAAUUUGUCUUUCAUUUUGACCCCUAAUUUUUGUAAUUAUUAUAAUUUGACUGCAAACUUUCUCAAUUUUGUAAUUAAGUCCCUAGCAGUUUUGAUUUCUUAAAUACAAGUUGCUUUUCUUCUUUAAUUGUUAAUUAUGCUUCAUUUAAGUGAUGUAGUUGGUAGAUUUCAUGAUUAAUUUCAUUUCUUUAUGAUUAAAUUGGUGCCUUGAUAAUUUUGUUAAUUUUGGAGUUAAAUAGGGCAAAUCCAACCCCCAUUAGCUAUUACUUCAAAGGGAGGUAUCCUCUUGUGUUAUUUUUAAAUUCUCUUAUGUGCUCUUAUGUGAUUUUAUGUGUGUAAUUGCAUGUUUUUUUGAAUGUUUUUAUUUUAUUUUAUUUUAUUUAUUUAUUCACUUUAUUUGUUUUUUUUUUAAAUUUUGUAUAUUUAUUUUAAUUUAAUUUCUGAUUAUUUGAGAGGCAUUUAAAUACCAAAUUAUAAUAGAUAGAGGGUUCAAGACAUGUAUUUAGUUAGUUUAUGUAAUAGAUAGGAUUUAAUUCUUGUUAAAAAUGUAUUUAGUUAGAUAAGUGUAAUAGUUAGAAUAUUAUUUUAUUUUUCCCCCCUAUAUUGUAGUUAAGGCUCCCGAAUGUAAUAGUUAGGUUUCUAUUUGCUUUUAUUUGCUUGUGCGCUUGCAUGCUUGUGUGUUUGCAUGUUUACUCACUUUCUUAGGGUAUUUGCAUGUAGAUAUCAUGUUUAUAUGCUAUGUGCUCUAUGUAAUUCAUGUGUUUACUUGCUUUUAUUAUAUUUUAUAUGAUUUAUUUAAAUAUAAUAAAUGCAUGACGUCACCAUACUAGUCCAACGCUAGUUGUGGCCCUUUGUUCCGAUUUCUCAUUAGUCCAACGCAAGUGAGAACUAAUAAAUAUGGGCUAGUCCAACGCUAGACCUUUAGGAACCGUCCAUGCUCUAGAUCAUGGUUGCGUGAUAAUCACUAUACUUCAUGUGAGAACUUGUAAAAUCCCUUAUAUUUUUCUUAAAAUUUCCUUUAAUUUGGAAAUUAUUAAUUUACAAUAGCUUUACUACUCAUUCAUUUUCCCAAUAGUUACAAAUAAUCAUAGAAACAAGGGUUUCCCUUUUACUUUCAUCUUUAAGAUAAACUAGGGUUUUACGUCUUUCCGUAAUGUGAGUAAUCGGUGCAGAGUGUGUACUCAAUUUAGUG